rnacentral:lncRNA from 1 species
CACAUUUAGAAUCUGAUUUACUCCAUUUCGGUCCCCAUUCCCCCUUCCCCUCUCCUCCCCCAUCGUACUCUACCAAUCUUCUCUUCACUCAUUUAUUUAUGUAUUUUUGGUUGGUGCUUUCUACAUAAAGGUGAAAUUCCCUGUGUUACCUUUAUAUAUGCCCAUAACAUGAUCUGUCACAUUGAGUCCACAUUUCUUUCCCUUUCCCAUCCCUCCACCCUCCCUCCAUCUCCUCCUCCUCCUCUUCUGAUCUUCUCUAUAUACUUACUAUACACAAUUCCCCCAUACCACUUUCUUUCCAUUGUUUUACUCUAGCUUUUACAUGUGAGAGGAAACAUUGAACCCUUGAUUUUCCGAGUCUGGCUUAUUUCACUUAGCAUGAUGUUCUCCAUUUCCAUCCGUUUGCCAGCAAAUGUCAUACUUUCAUUCAAAAAUUCUGCAUGGCUGAGUCAACCCCAUUGUGAACACACACAUUUUCUUCAUCCGUUCCUCUAUUGAUCCCCAUUUUAAUUCUUACAUAUAGCAUCUAAAUUAUUCUCACAAAUGAAAGUUUUCAUCAUGUCACAAUGAACAUGGGGGUAUGUUCCAAACCCCAUGUAAUCCUCAUUGGCUAAAACCCACUCAGGAUCACCAAGCCUGGGUACCCACACAACCUCUUCCUUUACCCUCAUUGCUACCUUUCUUGCACUCACCCUGUUAUCCAGGCUGGCUGAUUUUCUCAUCCCUGCCUGUAAACACCCAUCAUUUCCUACCUACCCUUGGGCCUCCUUGAUAUUAUUAUUAUUAUUAUUUAUAAUUUAUUUUGCCUGAUAUACCUCAUCCCCACUUGCCCAAAGACUGCCUGUCUCUUGGAUGCAAUUCAAAGGACUGGUCUGCUGUGAAGUGUCCCUGAUCCUGGCUGAUCCCCACCCCAGCUGGUGUAACCCACCUCCGAAACCUCCCCUGGCACUAAACCUCUAGUCUGCACUCACAGCAUUUGUCAUCUCCUAAUAAACUAUAAACCCUAUGAGCGCAGAGUCUCAGUCCAAUGUACUCCCCACAGUUCCUUUCCACAGUUGUCUCAAAAAGAGGUGAGCCAGUGAACAGGUGGACAAGACGUGGGGCUAUGGUAUGAACGGGUCCCCUGAAGUUCAUCCGUUGGAGACUUUAUCCUCAGCGUAUCAGAGUUGGGAGGCCAGGCCUAAUAACAGAUGAUUAGGUCUCGAGGGCUCCUCCUUCUUGAAUGGACUGAUGCUGUUUGUGUGGGAGAGGUCAAUUGUCAUGAGAAUGGGUUGUUAUUAAAGCAGGUUUGGCCCACAUUUGCCCUUCCACCUUCACCAUGGUAUGACACAUCACAAAGGCCCUGGC